UUGUUUUGUUAAUUUAACACCAUAAUUUCAGGUUUGUUUCAUCUGAAUUAUUAUUUUACAAUCACGUGAUUGUAACCGUCACGUCUCAUAAUUGAUAAAUUGUGAGUUAUCAAAUGUAAUCAAUUUUUUCGACAAUUCACAUAUUUUUCGACAAUCACAAUAAAAUGUUAGUGGCCAAUAAGUGAGUUGUUUCUACAAUAAUUUAUAAUUACUUUCUUUUAUGCAAUUAUUAGGCGAUCUGAAUAUAUGUAACAUACCAUACUCUAAGAUUAUAUAUUAUUAUAUUAAAAGAUUUGAAUACACAGCAAGUAAUAUUAGUUCCGAUAAUAAAUCGAACAAAAAUUCUAUUCAGAUAUCAAAUUUAUGUAAUACACUUAAUCGUAGCAGAUUUACGAAGAUUGUUACGACAGGCUGUCUUCAUCAAGGGGGUUAUAUGAAAAAAUAUAUCGUUAUUAUUGGUAUUUAUUUUAUGUUGAAUAUUCGUUAAUUUGUAUAAAUUUAAUUUGUAGAAAAAUUAUUUUCCGUUAUAGAAGCACUUUGUAUAUUAUGUAUAAAAAAAAAGAAAAAAAUAAUUUACAUUUACAUACAUGCCUGCUCUGGAAGUUGUACUGGCCGAGGUUGAAACACAUCGAAGUCGAUAAUAAUAUGAUAUUGAGUUAAUGCUUGGUAAUAAUUUGUUCGAAUUCUGUCUCACGCUUCAACGAUAUGCUAUACUGGACUAAAUAGUUUAUGCCAAAGAACGAUUGGAAUCUAAGAAAAUACAUAAUUAUCACGACUGGUGGUUUAGAGAUGAUGUUGUUGGAUACUGCAUUAAUUGAAUACUACAGUAUAUAAGGCUUAAGAAUGAAUCGAUGGAGCUGUUGAAUUUUACAUAUUACAGGCUAUUGAUAAUAGUUGUAGCGCAUAAAAUGUUACCUGCAACAGGAGGUGUCUCAUGUAAGGAGCCGAAGUAGAUACUAUUACUAAUGCGAUGCAUCGGUUUUUUCCAUUAUCUUGAUUGAAAUUUUAACGGUACUACACGCUAAUCUUAGCCUCGAAAUUUUGGAAAGAUUUUUCUUAGUAAUUUGGGAGAUAAUGUCUGAAACACUUUUUCAGUUAGUUCAUAAUAAUCUGGAAAAAAGAAGACCACGUUCAUUCUACUUUAAUCUACACCAGAUGCUUCAUACAGUCAUUAAAUUUUACAAUAUUGGUACGGAUGAGACAUGGAAUGUGGAGAUUUUAGAGAAUAUUGAAAACAUCAAAAUACUUACUUUUCAUACACUUACUUCAAUAAUUUACAAGUUUGAUAAUUUUCCAAUUAAUUAAACGAUCUUUAAUGCAAAACAAUAAACAAAUACUGAAACAAUUGUAGAUUCGCUGAAUCUUUUCAUAGCUCGGAAUAAGCGUUAAAUAUGAAAUAAGUUUUAUUUAAAAUGUCGAUAAGUUCAAUUUUGUAUUCCAACUCUUUGCCUUCAUUAAAUUUAAUUUUAAUUUA